CAGCUUGUUGGUGGGGUGAUGGCCUACCAAGGCGGUGACGGGUAGCCGGCCUGAGAGGGCGACCGGCCACACUGGGACUGAGACACGGCCCAGACUCCUGCGGGAGGCAGCAGUGGGGAAUAUUGCACAAUGGGCGAAAGCCUGAUGCAGCGACGCCGCGUGAGGGAUGACGGCCUUCGGGUUGUAAACCUCUUUCAGCAGGGACCAAGCGCAAGUGAGUGUACCUGCAGAAGAAGCACCGGCUAACUACGUGCCAGCAGCCGCGGUAAUACGUAGGGUGCGAGCGUUGUCCGGAUUUAUUGGGCGUAAAGGGCUCGUAGGCGGCCUGUCGCGUCGGAAGUGAAAGCCCACUGCUUAACGGUGGGUCUGCUUCCGGUACGGGCAGGCUGGAGUAUGGCAGGGGAGACUGGAAUUCCUGGUGUAGCGGUGGAAUGCGCAGAUAUCAGGAGGAACACCGGUGGCGAAGGCGGGUCUCUGGGCCAUUACUGACGCUGAGGAGCGAAAGCGUGGGGAGCGAACAGGAUUAGAUACCCUGGUAGUCCACGCCGUAAACGUUGGGCGCUAGGUGUGGGGACUGUUUCCACGGUCUCCGUGCCGGAGCUAACG
rnacentral:rRNA from 1 species